rnacentral:lncRNA from 1 species
AUAAGGAUGCAACAAUGCACUUACACCUUAUUUCAAAAACCUCAACAUAAUUGUAAAACCACAAUGAACCAAUUGUCAACUUAAACAUGAAUGUAUGCAAUGACAUUAUCAUGUUUAGUUAUGUUCAAGGAGGAACUACCUUCUCCUAGUCAUAACACACUAACAUCAACAUUUCUCAUGUUCAUAGGAAGAACUACCUUC